rnacentral:rRNA from 1 species
GACGGACCGUACGAACGUUAUUCGGAAUCACUGGGCUUAAAGGGUGCGUAGGCUGUGCGGAAAGUUGGGUGUGAAAUCCCUCGGCUUAACCGAGGAACUGCGCCCAAAACUACCGUGCUCGAGGGAGACAGAGGUGAGCGGAACUUAGGGUGGAGCGGUGAAAUGCGUUGAUAUCCUAAGGAACACCGGUGGCGAAAGCGGCUCACUGGGUCUCUUCUGACGCUGAGGCACGAAAGCCAGGGGAGCGAACGGG